GGCGAACGGGUGAGUAAUGCAUCGGAACGUAUCCUGGAGUGGGGGAUAACCCAGCGAAAGCUGGGCUAAUACCGCAUAUGCUCUACGGAGGAAAGGGGGGGACCGCAAGGCCUCCUGCUCUGGGCGCGGCCGAUGUCCGAUUAGCUAGUUGGUGGGGUAAUGGCCCACCAAGGCGACGAUCGGUAGCUGGUCUGAGAGGAUGAUCAGCCACACUGGGACUGAGACACGGCCCAGACUCCUACGGGAGGCAGCAGUGGGGAAUUUUGGACAAUGGGGGCAACCCUGAUCCAGCCAUGCCGCGUGAGUGAAGAAGGCCUUCGGGUUGUAAAGCUCUUUUGGCCGGGAAGAAAGCGCCUCCUCUAAUACGGGGGGUGGUUGACGGUACCGGCAGAAUAAGCACCGGCUAACUACGUGCCAGCAGCCGCGGUAAUACGUAGGGUGCGAGCGUUAAUCGGAAUUACUGGGCGUAAAGCGUGCGCAGGCGGUUCGUUAAGUCUGAUGUGAAAGCCCCGGGCUC
rnacentral:rRNA from 1 species